rnacentral:rRNA from 1 species
CAGUAGCCACGGUAAUACGAAGGGUGCAAGCGUUAAUCGGAAUUACUGGGCGUAAAGCGUGCGUAGGCGGUUUGUUAAGUCUGUUGCGAGAUCCCCGGGCUCAACCUGGGAAUGGCAAUGGAUACUGGCAAGCUAGAGUGUGUCAGAGGAUGGUGGAAUUCCCGGUGUAGCGGUGAAAUGCGUAGAGAUCGGGAGGAACAUCAGUGGCGAAGGCAGCCAUCUGGGACAACACUGACGCUGAGGCACGAAAGCGUGGGGAGCAAACAGGAUUAGAUACCCGCGUAGUCCCUGUCUCUUAUAC